rnacentral:rRNA from 1 species
UACGUAGGCAGCGAGCGUUGUUCGGAGUUACUGGGCGUAAAGAGUGCGUAGGCGGUUUGUCGCGUCUGCUGUGAAAAAUCCGGGGCUCAACCCCGGACUUGCAGUGGGUACGGGCAGACUAGAGUGUGGUAGGGGAGACUGGAAUUCCUGGUGUAGCGGUGGAAUGCGCAGAUAUCAGGAGGAACACCGAUGGCGAAGGCAGGUCUCUGGGCCAC